rnacentral:rRNA from 1 species
AACGAACGCUGGCGGCAGGCUUAACACAUGCAAGUCGAACGCCCCGCAAGGGGAGUGGCAGACGGGUGAGUAACGCGUGGGAAUCUACCUAGUUCUACGGAACAACAGUUGGAAACGACUGCUAAUACCGUAUACGCCCUAUGGGGGAAAGAUUUAUCGGAAUUAGAUGAGCCCGCGCAAGAUUAGCUAGUUGGUGAGGUAAUGGCUCACCAAGGCGACGAUCUUUAGCUGGUCUGAGAGGAUGAUCAGUCACACUGGGACUGAGACACGGCCCAGACUCCUACGGGAGGCAGCAGUGGGGAAUAUUGGACAAUGGGCGCAAGCCUGAUCCAGCCAUGCCGCGUGAGUGAUGAAGGCCUUAGGGUUGUAAAGCUCUUUCAGUAGGGAAGAUAAUGACGGUACCUACAGAAGAAGCCCCGGCUAACUUCGUGCCAGCCGCCGCAGUAAUAC